UGAAAGAAGAAAGCCUAUUUAUCCCACUUUAACUGGUGAAGUUGGGAAACAGCAUGGAUUAUGAUCGACUGAUGCAGAAAAUUGUGGCUUCUUCUUGUCCUAUAAUUGGUGUUUUAUGGACCACAUACAAGAGAAGAAGAAAUCAAAGGAAAAAAGCACAAGGAAAAGAGAGUACAACUCAAUUGGAUUCUCCGAGUGCAAAAAAAUAUAAGCAUGAAAGUUUCUUCAAGUAGAUCUUUCUUUCACACAUCCAAUAUUCAAACAGCAUCAGUCUCGGAAGUUUCCAUUGCAAGUUUUUCUCGGUGCCCAACUUGCAUGGACUGUCGGAAAUUUCCAAGAAAUACAGCACCGAAUUCCACAGAGAAAUCAGAAAAGACAACAUGCUUAGCUCCAUUUUCCUGGUUCAGAGAAUUCUGGAAUUGGCAUCUUGAAGAAGUCAGAGAAGUUACCUUCUCCGAGCAACAAAUAAAUCUUACAUAAUUUUGGGAUGAGUGAGAUUUUUGUUCAUAUGUUGUGAAGCCACUACUAAUCCAAGUCGCAUCAAAUUCUGCUUUCAUAUAACAGGAAAAGGAGAACGAAGCCACUCGAUUUCUUCUUUUCUUUUUCUCUCUUGCAAAGAUGAAGCCAUAAUGUGACUGAUUUAAAAUGCAAAAGCCGACGCUCUCAAGAUCUCAAAAUGAUUUCAUUGCAGCGAAUGCAAUCGGAAGAUGAAUUGAGAUGGUCAAAACAAAGAAAAAGUCCUAUUCUGCGAGUACACGGGAUUGCUUCACUGUCCUAUCUCACGAGUCCCAUGCAGAGAACAAUUAGUUGCCAGCGAUGCAGGAAGAAGUAAAACUUAUUUUAGCUGAAGACCAUAAUGCACAAAGAGCUCAGACUGACUUGAUCAGUAUAUUUCGUGACCUAAGAAACCAUUUGAAUCAUGCAAAUAAUCUUUAUGCAAAGUCAGAGUAAGACUCAAUACCUGAACAGAAAUGUGCACAGCUGAUGCUCAUCUUCAGAUUCACCUGAGAUGCUUCU
rnacentral:lncRNA from 1 species